AACGAACGCUGGCGGCAUGCCUAACACAUGCAAGUCGAACGAUUGCCUUCGGGUGAUAGUGGCGCACGGGUGCGUAACGCGUGGGAAUCUGCCCUUAGGUUCGGAAUAACAGCUGGAAACGGCUGCUAAUACCGGAUGAUAUCGCGAGAUCAAAGAUUUAUCGCCUGAGGAUGAGCCCGCGUUGGAUUAGGUAGUUGGUGGGGUAAAGGCCUACCAAGCCGACGAUACAUAGCUGGUCUGAGAGGAUGAUCAGCCACACUGGGACUGAGACGCGGCCCAGACUCCUACGGGAGGCAGCAGUGGGGAAUAUUGGACAAUGGGCGCAAGCCUGAUCCAGCCAUGCCGCGUGAGUGAUGAAGGCCCGAGGGUUGUAAAGCUCUUUUACCCGGGAAGAUAAUGACUGUACCGGGAGAAUAAGCCCCGGCUAACUCCGUG
rnacentral:rRNA from 1 species